AGUGAACGCUGGCGGUAGGCCUAACACAUGCAAGUCGAACGGCAGCACAGUAAGAGCUUGCUCUUACGGGUGGCGAGUAGCGGACGGGUGAGGAAUACAUCGGAAUCUACUUUUUCGUGGGGGAUAACGUAGGGAAACUUACGCUAAUACCCCAUACGACCUACGGGUGAAAGCAGGGGAUCUUCGGACCUUGCGCGAUUGAAUGAGCCGAUGUCGGAUUAGCUAGUUGGCGGGGUAAAGGCCCACCAAGGCGACGAUCCGUAGCUGGUCUGAGAGGAUGAUCAGCCACACUGGAACUGAGACACGGUCCAGACUCCUACGGGAGGCAGCAGUGGGGAAUAUUGGACAAUGGGCGCAAGCCUGAUCCAGCCAUACCGCGUGGGUGAAGAAGGCCUUCGGGUUGUAAAGCCCUUUUGUUGGGAAAGAAAAGCAGCAGGUUAAUACCCCGCUGUUCUGACGGUACCCAAAGAAUAAGCACCGGCUAACUUCGUG
rnacentral:rRNA from 1 species